UCCUGGCUCAGAUUGAACGCUGGCGGAAUGCUUACACAUGCAAGUCGAACGGUAGAGGGGGCAACCCUUGAGAGUGGCGAACGGGUGAGUAUAUAUCGGAACGUCGCCCAGUCGUGGGGGAUAACGUAGCGAAAGUUACGCUAAUACCGCAUACGAUCUAAGGGUGAAAGCGGGGGAUCGCAAGACCUCGCGCGAUUGGAGCGGCCGAUAUCAGAUUAGGUAGUUGGUGAGGUAAAGGCUCACCAAGCCAACGAUCUGUAGCUGGUCUGAGAGGACGACCAGCCACACUGGAACUGAGACACGGUCCAGACUCCUACGGGAGGCAGCAGUGGGGGAAUUUUGGACAAUGGACGCAAGUCUGAUCCAGCCAUUCCGCGUGCAGGAUGAAGGCCCUCGGGUUGUAAACUGCUUUUGUACGGAACGAAAAGGUUUCUAUUAAUACUAGGAGCUCAUGACGGUACCGUAAGAAUAAGCACCGGCUAACUACGUG
rnacentral:rRNA from 1 species